rnacentral:lncRNA from 1 species
ACACUGUAAUGAACAUAGAAUAUUCCAAAUACAAAUAAGCGUUGUACAAAAAAUACAUAUGGGUCUACAUAUAUAAAUAAAAUUUAUAUACAUGCACAUGAACCAUAUUAAUAUAUAUACAACAAGGAUUUGUAUGUAUAUACAAAUGAGUACCUAUUAGCUAAAUACAUUUGUAAAAUACACCCUUGUGAUAAACACAUAUACAAAUACCUCUUCUUCUUUGUCUUUAUCUGAAUCAUCUUCAGAGAGUUUUCAACAUCAGAACUUGGAAUUUUGUUUGUUUUACCGAUUUCUUUUGCUUUUUUUCUUUUUUUCUCCGAUUCUUUUAUUUUUGGGGGUUUUGAAGAUGAAACUGUUAUCAAUCCUUUUUAUUUCAUAGUUUUGGCCAUAUUUUUGGAUCAUUGUGAUGCUUCGACCUCACCUCUUCAACACAUUAAUUUCUUCAGCUAUUUAGACAUAGAACCCACUUUAACAAUUUCAUCUUUAGAUAUACCAAUACUAAAUGAUGAAGGAUUAUGAUAAACUAAAUUGAUAGGUUUGUUCUUUCAUUAGAGAAUACCUCUACACCAUAACAACAAUGGUGACAAAAAUACAAAAAU